rnacentral:misc_RNA from 1 species
GAUCAAUUCUGUGAAACGUAAAAUAAUUAUUCAGUGAAUGAAACAAAGAGGAGAAGUAGAGAAAGACUGGAUCAGGGAUGGAGACGAUAGACACGUACGUGAUGACAGACGUUAGUGGUAUUCGAAGGGUUCUGUCAUCGAGCGUGUUGACGGUGACCACUGUUCCGGUCAGUGCCUCUCGCAGAAAGAUAUCGACCGUCAUGUGCAAGUCAGAGCCCUCUCUUCGGAAGGUCUCGUGAGGCCGGUCCUCCGUGAUGAAGAUUACAUCCGCUACGCUGACGUGCUUUGGACUGAGAAUUUUUGUGGGUCCUUCAUCACCUUCCUCUGGGAACACUAUCCUCGUUCCCGUCGGAAUGCCUGGUUUAAUGGGUAUCGUUAAAAUUUUUUCCUUCGUCACUGUCUUAGUCUUAUCAUCCCCUACCAAUACUAAUCUUUGUAUCUUCAUUUUCUUUAUCCCUCCAAGAAAGACCUAUUUAUAUAAAUCAAUGAAUUUAUAGAUCUUUUAGAAUUAAAGUGGCGGAUCACUUAGUUUAAUGAGUGUAUUUGGCCAAAUAUAUGUGUAAGCAAGAAAAUUAAUAAGGAAAGUGUUUAGCAUAACAAUGAAUAGUAAACUGUUAAUGAUCGAUACAAUGGAUUUAUGAAAAUAU